GCCUGCUUAGCAUAGUGGCUAAUGCGUUGCACUUGUAAUGCAAAGAUCACAGGUUCGAUUCCUGUAGUAGGCA